UGGGGAUUCUAUUUAUCGCUGUAGGAUCCCUAUUCAAGAUCACUGCAGUUCCUUUUCGGGCGGCUGUAGGACGGCCGCCUAUAGGUGGUAGGGUAGGGUGGGUGGUACCGCUCAGAUUGCGGCCAAUCUUCCUAACCGCGCGCGGGCCGGGCUUAGAGCGCGUGAAACUCAUCACUACCUCGUAAGGGCGUUGAGACCAUAGCAUGUUACACGAAA
rnacentral:lncRNA from 1 species